UUUGGAAGCAAACAGAACUGAAUGGAGACGGGUCGGGGAGCACAUUGAAAUAGUGUGCUCCACUGAUCAGAAAAAUCCAAGUGGAAUGUACCUGUAUCACACCUAUUACCAAACCCAGGAGGUGUUCUAUAUCAGUCCACAGCAGAACUAUACUCCCAGCUUACCCUACAAGAACAGGACAAAGGUUACGGGCGUGUUCUCCAACCUGCAUGCCACAAUUAGCAACCUCACUGUUAACGACAGUGGAGUUUUCUGGUGCCAGUACUUGAGUUUUGAAGGAGCAAAACAAUAUUCAUCUAAAAGCAAAGAUGGUGAAACAUUGUUGGUGGUUGAUGGGUGUCCCACUAAUGGACCACACAUGACUGUGACUACCGAGGAACCCGUCCCGAUGUGGUUGCUAGUCAUAUAGUCCUCAUUAUCCUGCUCGUCCCGGUGAUGUGCUGUGUAGAGAAUGGAAAGCCUCAUCAACAGUCUGGUGUUGGACUCCAGGCACAUCGUUCUGACAGUUUAUGAGUAGAUAAGACAACAGAGGGCCACAUCUAUGUCUCAGGUACUGAUCAACCCUGCCGACUGGCCUACCCCAAAUUACCCACACUCAGUAAAACAGCACCACUGGCAUACCAGCUGCAUGCCUUUAAUUAGAAAAGUUUUGGCUUGCUUUGGUUUCAGUUCAGUUUUUCAGCUUCUAUCAAUAUAAAGGAUACAAAUAAUACAAACCUUCUACAGAUUUAUAAAAACUAUAUACAACACAAUGUUAACUUGUGUCAGAAUGGGAUGUCCACCUUGUGUUUGUAAAUAUUUGUCUUUGUUAUAUGAUGAUAAAUAUUCAUUUCAAUAUGCCACUCUGUCAAGUAACUGUAUACACUGCACUGUAUACUGCAGUAUGUAACCGUAGGGAUGACAUUGAAUGUUUUGUUGAUCAAAUAAAUUAAAAUAUUGAUUGGCCUA